GUACUUGCUUCGGCAGUACAUAUAUUAAAAUUGGAACGAUACAGAGAAGGAUGACACGCAAAAUCGUGAAGCGUUCCACAUUUUU
rnacentral:snRNA from 1 species